UGGCGAUGUGGCGCCAAAGAACAUUUAUUCCCUCCGUCUGAAAAAGGUAAGUACAUUUUAUUUAUGUAUCCACUCACUCACAUUUUAAGCCACAUUUCAAAUGUUGCUUGCUUUAAGUAAAGUUCUUACCUUCAGGCCAUGCUUGUGGAAAUUAUUCCUGAUGGACUUAAUGAGAUGAGGGACAUCAAAGAUGAUGGGAAUUUUCAGCCCUUCUGCCUCCACACAGUGGGAGUCAUCCCCCCCCCCCCCUGAGGGUCUAGAGUGGCCCCAAGCAGGUGUAAGGCCCGGACAUUGGUGGUGGCUUGGUCACACACAAUUGCCUGAACCUAACAUGUAGAAAAGUAUCAAUGCAUGGCCUAUAGCCUGCAGGUGGUGAAUGGCUCCCCUGAUGGUGUCUGCAAUCUCCUCCGACAGCAUGGAGCUGGAGGAAAAGAAGUAUCCAAUUGGCUGGAAGACAUUGGGAAAGUGCUUGUUAGAGAAGUAUCCGACUCGUGCCGUAACGAAUCUGUGAAGAGUUGUAGCUGGGCCCGGAUGAAAUCACGGCACUUUUCUGAGCAGUUGGGCAGGAUCUCUUUAAGGCUACAUGGGGAGAAAAUGUUAAGUCCAAAAAACAAAGGAGGAGAGGCAAGCAGUGGUGGGUUUCCACAGUUCACCAAUGUGGGGAUGGCUUCUUGUGUGAGUGCUUUUCUUCCAUUAGACUAGUACAGAACAUGAAGGACAUCGUCAAGGACAGUAAUGUCACUGUUGACUAAAAAUGUUUCACUAAUGUUACACACCAGCACAU